rnacentral:rRNA from 1 species
GAUGAACGCUGGCGGCGUGCCUAAUACAUGCAAGUCGAGCGAACGGACGAGAAGCUUGCUUCUCUGAUGUUAGCGGCGGACGGGUGAGUAACACGUGGAUAACCUACCUAUAAGACUGGGAUAACUUCGGGAAACCGGAGCUAAUACCGGAUAAUAUUUUGAACCGCAUGGUUCAAAAGUGAAAGACGGUCUUGCUGUCACUUAUAGAUGGAUCCGCGCUGCAUUAGCUAGUUGGUAAGGUAACGGCUUACCAAGGCAACGAUGCAUAGCCGACCUGAGAGGGUGAUCGGCCACACUGGAACUGAGACACGGUCCAGACUCCUACGGGAGGCAGCAGUAGGGAAUCUUCCGCAAUGGGCGAAAGCCUGACGGAGCAACGCCGCGUGAGUGAUGAAGGUCUUCGGAUCGUAAAACUCUGUUAUUAGGGAAGAACAUAUGUGUAAGUAACUGUGCACAUCUUGACGGUACCUAAUCAGAAAGCCACGGCUAACUACGUGCCAGCGGCCGCGGUAAUACGUAGGUGGCAAGCGUUAUCCGGAAUUAUUGGGCGUAAAGCGCGCGUAGGCGGUUUUUUAAGUCUGAUGUGAAAGCCCACGGCUCAACCGUGGAGGGUCAUUGGAAACUGGAAAACUUGGGUGCAGAAGAGGAAAGUGGAAUUCCAUGUGUAGCGGUGAAAUGCGCAGAGAUAUGGAGGAACACCAGUGGCGAAGGCGACUUUCUGGUCUGUAACUGACGCUGAUGUGCGAAAGCGUGGGGAUCAAACAGGAUUAGAUACCCUGGUAGUCCACGCCGUAAACGAUGAGUGCUAAGUGUUAGGGGGUUUCCGCCCCUUAGUGCUGCAGCUAACGCAUUAAGCACUCCGCCUGGGGAGUACGACCGCAAGGUUGAAACUCAAAGGAAUUGACGGGGACCCGCACAAGCGGUGGAGCAUGUGGUUUAAUUCGAAGCAACGCGAAGAACCUUACCAAAUCUUGACAUCCUUUGACAACUCUAGAGAUAGAGCCUUCCCCUUCGGGGGACAAAGUGACAGGUGGUGCAUGGUUGUCGUCAGCUCGUGUCGUGAGAUGUUGGGUUAAGUCCCGCAACGAGCGCAACCCUUAAGCUUAGUUGCCAUCAUUAAGUUGGGCACUCUAAGUUGACUGCCGGUGACAAACCGGAGGAAGGUGGGGAUGACGUCAAAUCAUCAUGCCCCUUAUGAUUUGGGCUACACACGUGCUACAAUGGACAAUACAAAGGGCAGCGAAACCGCGAGGUCAAGCAAAUCCCAUAAAGUUGUUCUCAGUUCGGAUUGUAGUCUGCAACUCGACUACAUGAAGCUGGAAUCGCUAGUAAUCGUAGAUCAGCAUGCUACGGUGAAUACGUUCCCGGGUCU